rnacentral:rRNA from 1 species
UACGUAGGGCGCAAGCGUUGUCCGGAAUUAUUGGGCGUAAAGAGCUCGUAGGCGGCUUGUCGCGUCGACUGUGAAAUCCCGCGGCUCAACUGCGGGUCUGCAGUCGAUACGGGCAGGCUAGAGUUCGGUAGGGGAGACUGGAAUUCCUGGUGUAGCGGUGAAUGCGCAGAUAUCAGGAGGAACACCGGUGCGAAGGCGGGUCUCUGGGCCGAUACUGACGCUGAGGAGCGAAAGCGUGGGGGAGCGAACAGG